GAGGGAAACCGAGUCUUAACCGGGCGUUAAGUUGCAGGGUAUAGACCCGAAACCCGGUGAUCUAGCCAUGGGCAGGUUGAAGGUUGGGUAACACUAACUGGAGGACCGAACCGACUAAUGUUGAAAAAUUAGCGGAUGACCUGUGGCUGGGGGUGAAAGGCCAAUCAAACCGGGAGAUAGCUGGUUCUCCCCGAAAGCUAUUUAGGUAGCGCCUCGUGAACUCAUCUCCGGGGGUAGAGCACUGUUUCGGCUAGGGGGCCAUCCCGGCUUACCAACCCGAUGCAAACUGCGAAUACCGGAGAAUGUUAUCACGGGAGACACACGGCGGGUGCUAACGUCCGUCGUGAAGAGGGAAACAACCCAGACCGCCAGCUAAGGUCCCAAAGUCAUGGUUAAGUGGGAAACGAUGUGGGAAGGCCCAGACAGCCAGGAUGUUGGCUUAGAAGCAGCCAUCAUUUAAAGAAAGCGUAAUAGCUCACUGGUCGAGUCGGCCUGCGCGGAAGAUGUAACGGGGCUAAACCAUGCACCGAAGCUGCGGCAGCGACGCUGAUGCGUUGUUGGGUAGGGGAGCGUUCUGUAAGCCUGCGAAGGUGGCCUGUGAGGGUUGCUGGAGGUAUCAGAAGUGCGAAUGCUGACAUAAGUAACGAUAAAGCGGGUGAAAAGCCCGCUCGCCGGAAGACCAAGGGUUCCUGUCCAACGUUAAUCGGGGCAGGGUGAGUCGACCCCUAAGGCGAGGCCGAAAGGCGUAGUCGAUGGGAAACGGGUUAAUAUUCCCGUACUUGGUGUUACUGCGAAGGGGGGACGGAGAAGGCUAUGUUGGCCGGGCGACGGUUGUCCCGGUUUAAGCGUGUAGGUGUGUGUUCCAGGUAAAUCCGGUUCACUUUAACACUGAGGCGUGAUGACGAGGCACUACGGUGCUGAAGCAACAAAUGCCCUGCUUCCAGGAAAAGCCUCUAAGCAUCAGGUAACAUCAAAUCGUACCCCAAACCGACACAGGUGGUCAGGUAGAGAAUACCAAGGCGCUUGAGAGAACUCGGGUGAAGGAACUAGGCAAAAUGGUGCCGUAACUUCGGGAGAAGGCACGCUGACACGUAGGUGAAGUGAUUUACUCAUGGAGCUGAAGUCAGUCGAAGAUACCAGCUGGCUGCAACUGUUUAUUAAAAACACAGCACUGUGCAAACACGAAAGUGGACGUAUACGGUGUGACGCCUGCCCGGUGCCGGAAGGUUAAUUGAUGGGGUCAGCGCAAGCGAAGCUCCUGAUCGAAGCCCCGGUAAACGGCGGCCGUAACUAUAACGGUCCUAAGGUAGCGAAAUUCCUUGUCGGGUAAGUUCCGACCUGCACGAAUGGCGUAAUGAUGGCCAGGCUGUCUCCACCCGAGACUCAGUGAAAUUGAACUCGCUGUGAAGAUGCAGUGUACCCGCGGCAAGACGGAAAGACCCCGUGAACCUUUACUAUAGCUUGACACUGAACAUUGAGCCUUGAUGUGUAGGAUAGGUGGGAGGCUUUGAAGUGUGGACGCCAGUCUGCAUGGAGCCGACCUUGAAAUACCACCCUUUAAUGUUUGAUGUUCUAACGUGGACCCGUGAUCCGGGUUGCGGACAGUGUCUGGUGGGUAGUUUGACUGGGGCGGUCUCCUCCUAAAGAGUAACGGAGGAGCACGAAGGUUGGCUAAUCCUGGUCGGACAUCAGGAGGUUAGUGCAAUGGCAUAAGCCAGCUUGACUGCGAGCGUGACGGCGCGAGCAGGUGCGAAAGCAGGUCAUAGUGAUCCGGUGGUUCUGAAUGGAAGGGCCAUCGCUCAACGGAUAAAAGGUACUCCGGGGAUAACAGGCUGAUACCGCCCAAGAGUUCAUAUCGACGGCGGUGUUUGGCACCUCGAUGUCGGCUCAUCACAUCCUGGGGCUGAAGUAGGUCCCAAGGGUAUGGCUGUUCGCCAUUUAAAGUGGUACGCGAGCUGGGUUUAGAACGUCGUGAGACAGUUCGGUCCCUAUCUGCCGUGGGCGCUGGAGAACUGAGGGGGGCUGCUCCUAGUACGAGAGGACCGGAGUGGACGCAUCACUGGUGUUCGGGUUGUCAUGCCAAUGGCACUGCCCGGUAGCUAAAUGCGGAAGAGAUAAGUGCUGAAAGCAUCUAAGCACGAAACUUGCCCCGAGAUGAGUUCUCCCUGAGACUUUAGGUCUCCUGAAGGAACGUUGAAGACGACGACGUUGAUAGGCCGGGUGUGUAAGCGCAGCGAUGCGUUGAGCUAACCGGUACUAAUGAACCGUGAGGCUUAACCUUACA
rnacentral:rRNA from 1 species